ACGCUCGACACCUACGGGAGUCAGCAGUGGGGAAUAUUGCACAAUGGGGGAAACCCUGAUGCAGCGACGCCGCGUGAGCGAAGAAGUAUUUCGGUAUGUAAAGCUCUAUCAGCAGGGAAGAAACUGACGGUACCUGACUAAGAAGCACCGGCUAAAUACGUGUCAGCAGCCGCGGUAAUCUGAGCGGGCUGGCAAGGC
rnacentral:rRNA from 1 species